GGCCUUGCAGGAGCAGGGUAGGCGCCAGAGCCGAGUGGCGGUGGCGGGGUGAUGGCGUUUGCAGGGCGAAAGGAACUGGGAUCCUGGGGGGAAACCUCAGCAGGGGCUGAGUGCGCGGGCUUUGCGGUUGAGAAAGGUCCAGCCAGGCUCUCGGCGCGCCCAGCAGCGCGUGGGGGGGCGUCCUGUCCACAGUGGCCUGCUUCCUUUCCCUGUCAAGGCUGGGGUGACUCAGAGCCCCUGCAGGGAGCACGAGUCUCCAGCGCUUCAGGGCCUGCGUCUCUCGGCCAGACUGUAGCCCGUGACCUUCCCAGGGCCAACCAAGGGCGAGGCGUGUUGCCCAACAAGGCCUCCGCUCCAUGGGCCGCGGGGGAAAUCGCCAGGCACGAGCCCUGUGGGCCGGGGCGCAGCCACCCACGCAUGCCCGAGGAGGCCUUCGGGGAGCAGAGACCGGAGCUGAGAGGCUGCGGAGCCAGCCCCGCACCACUGACAGCCGGGGCACGUCUGCGGAGCCCGGGGGAACCAUCCACGCAGGAGCCCUACGUCCUGGGAGCUGGGGACACGCCUGCAAGAGGGCAACCAGGUGCCAGUGUUGGCGAGCAGAAUCGCCCCCCACUCGGGCCCUCCUCCUGGGCCAGGCUCCAGCUUCGGGCAGGAUCCCUGCGGGAUGCUCUGGCACACGCAAGGAGAGUCCUCAGCCUUGGAAAUGUAAAUGAAAACCAGACUCCUCCUCUCUGAGACCUUCAGGGGGACAGAAUGAACAAACCUGCCUGGCGUCCACUCACACCCGAAGCUGCCCCGUCUGAACUUGGGUGGAGGGAAGCUGGUGGAUUUUAACACCAUUUCUUUCCACCGUGGCACCAGAAGAGCUCCUUGCAUUGAAUAGCUCUUCUAUUUCAGUGUGCAGUGUUGCAGCCGACUGAAUGGGCUUGCCUUCUGCCGAGGCAGUCUUGGAAGACGGAAGUCAUCUGUGAUUUCCCAGGAAGCUCUUCACCAGACCACCUCCUGUCCUUUUCUUUUUAAUUAUUUAAAAAUAAAAGUAUGUUUGCUUCCCUCUUGAGUGUCCGG
rnacentral:lncRNA from 1 species